GCGGGUAUAGCACAAUGGUUCGUGCGCUUGCCUUCCAAGCAAGACAUAGGGGUUCGAUUCCCCUUACCCGCU
rfam:Parcubacteria bacterium GW2011_GWA2_45_30 TX07_C0051, whole genome shotgun sequence.